GCUGCCUUAGCUCAGCUGGUAGAGCACGUGAUUUGUAAUCUCGGGGUCGUGGGUCCAAAUCCUACAGGCAGCU
rfam:Treponema bryantii strain B25 genome assembly, contig: Ga0070255_101